rnacentral:rRNA from 1 species
UACGGAGGAUGCAAGCGUUGUCCGGAAUCAUUGGGCGUAAAGGGUCCUGAGGUGGUUUGCUCAGUCCACUGUGAAAGUUCAGGGCUUACCCUUGAAAAUGCGGUGGAAACUAGUAGGCUAGAGUACGGUGGGGGCAGAGGGAAUUCCCGAUGUAGCGGGUGAAAUGCAUAGAUAUCGGGAAGAACACCGAUGGCGAAGGCACUCUGCUGGGCCGACACUGACACUGAAAGACGAAAGCCAGGGGAGCGAAUGGG